AUAACGCAGCUCAGGCUACAAACGAACAAACCGAAACAUAACCAACAAAUGUGAUUUCAUACAUAACACAAACUCUCAAAUCUCAUAAAUUGAAAUAAAGUUGCAGAAACUUCUAAUAUUACUGGAGGAUACUACAUUUGGAAACCAGUUUUUACAACAAAUAUUUCAAAAUCCACCCCGAACGUUCCGAUUCCAUCCUCAGCUUCUGAGCAAUAAUAUAUAUGAAAUGUCUUGGCAUGAAUCUUUCGCUGCCAGACAAUCUGGUAAAAGUAGAUGGCUGGUGGUAUCUACAGUCGGAUUCUCACUCGGCAUAAUACUUUCCUAUACUUACUUAUACAAGCCUUUCGUGAAGAGAAAGAGAUACAAGGAAGCUGAGGAUUUUGCGAAUUACAUUUAUGAAAAUGAGAGGAAGAAGUUAGCCGAAGAAAGAUAAAUGUAAAGAUAUUUUUGUAGAAAGAGCAAAUAAAUAGUUAUGCCAG